rnacentral:sRNA from 1 species
GAGCCGCCCGUGUCAACCGGGCAUGACGGUAUGGAGAACAGGGCCGAUUUUCCCGGUUUCCCGCCCUGGCAUCAACGCAUUGGCAUACGUGCUUCUGUCCCGUCCGCGCG